rnacentral:lncRNA from 1 species
CUCAUCAACAGUAAGUUAUUAUUUUAGAGGUCUUGUCCUUUUUUUUUAUUAAAAAAAAACCCCCGGAGUGGCUAUUUUUCUGGCUAGCCGGACGAAUAGUGCCAGGGCUAUUUUUCCGGCCAUUGUAAUACGCAUGUCAUAUAAUGUGCGUUUGGAAGUGCGUGUAAUAUAAGCUCCAGUAGCAACAAGGGGGCGCGUGUAAUAUGAUCACUGAUUUUCAAUUUAUAAUCAUGGCUGAAGACGGUGAUAUCAAUAUUUGUGAUACAUUUUGCAGUUUGUGGAAUUUGACAAUGGAACAUGAUAUUAUGAACUUCCAAGACUGAUAUAAUCUUAUAAAAGGGACUCAAAAAAGGAAACAAGGAACAUGGGAAAUAAAAGAUAAUUGAUCGGAGAACUAGUUUUACAAAAUUAUUCGACUCGCUACAGCUGUGUAAAUGGUGGAAAAGAUGUUCAAAGCAAGAGUAGUUGAGAAAGGCCUUUACAAGGGGGGAUUGAGGCUACAAACUUUAACUUGAAGUGGGGAUGUUGGAAAUAGAAACAAAGAUGGGAUCAGGAGUAAAAAAGAAAAGAGAAAUUUGGGAAAAGAAGCACACCGUGUCACCCCG